AGUGGGUAUUGCUUGAGGUGAGCCGGUCAUGACGUUAAGUUAAAGAAAAAUAUUUAAGCUAGAAUAGUUCAUGUGCUGCAUGUAUACCGUUAGUAGCUGUGCCCUGGGAAAGUUGACAACAAUGAAUGACUGAAAAGAAUGCGAUUGCUGCACUGGAAACUAUGUUACUAAAAUUGCCACGUAGAAAAGGGAACGAAUGUUGACUGGCAAACUGUAAUUAAACUGUGAAACUGCUCAGCUUUCUUUUAUUUCUUUUUUUUUUCUCGUUUUAAAUUCCACUACACAGGGCAUAAUCAGCAUAACUAAAUAUCCAGAUCACUGUAUUCUUCAUGUAUGUAUUAUAACCAUCUGUAAGUGGCAGAAACUGUUGUGAUAUAGCAAACACUAUUCUUUAUUUUGUCUGCUAGUAAAUCAGUAUGUUUAAUU